rnacentral:rRNA from 1 species
UACAGAGGGUGCAAGCGUUAAUCGGAAUGACUGGGCGUAAAGGGCGCGUAGGCGGUGUGUAGUUGUCGAUGGUGAAAUACCCGGGCUUAACCUGGGAAUGUCCUUCAAUACAUACACACUAGAGUGGGAGAGAGGAGAGUGGAAUUUCCGGUGUAGCGGUGAAAUGCGUAGAUAUCGGAAGGAACACCAGUGGCGAAGGCGGCUCUCUGGCUCCACACUGACGCUCAUGCGCGAAAGCAUGGGGAGCAAACAGG